rnacentral:rRNA from 1 species
UUCGGGUGAGGCAAGCGUUGUUCGGAAUCACUGGGCUUAAAGCGCGUGUAGGCGGCUCGGUAAGUACCUUGUGAAAUCCCUUCUCUCAAUGGAGGAACUGCUGGGUAUACUGCCGGGCUUGAGGCAGGUAGGGGUCACUGGAACUCUAGGUGGAGCGGUGAAAUGCGUAGAUAUCUAGAGGAACGCCCGUGGCGAAAGCGGGUGACUGGGCCUGUCCUGACGCUGAGAUGCGAAAGCGUGGGUAGCAAAC